CUUUAGAAUGGUUCGAAUCGUUUCUCUUAAAUGGUUCGAGUUCGCCUUUUUCUUGAACCCCAAACCCACUUUCUCUCGUUCAAUUUUUUUGUUUUAAAACACAAGCUUUCUCGGUGGAUUCUGGUUUUUCCCGCGAGAGCAAAUCUACAAAUUAGCUCAAAAUAGAUUAACAAUGAAGAAUCUGAAACCCUAAAAACGAAGAGAAGCUUAAAUUUGGUUACUGGAAUGAGGAACCACACUUAUGGAUAUCAGAUUCGACUAAUUAAACCGUGAUUUCUUCGACUAUCGGCAAAAAAAAUACUUGAAGACUUCAUUUCUUAUCUUGCCUUUGCUUCUCUGAGAACAUCUGGUAAUACUUUUUAAAAUUAUGUGUAUGAAUUAGGUUUUUUUUGCUUUCGAAAUGAUUUAGGGAGUUUUGAAGAACCACUAUGCGUUCUUAAAAAUUAUGUUAGGGAUGCAGUAGGGAAACAAGAGUCAUUGGAUCAAAUUCGUGUUCCGAUGAUUGAAAAUCUAUCGAUGUGGAAGGAUUCAAGACGAUCAAACCAGGUUUUUGAUACUUCUUAAUUGGUUAUUCCAAGAUGAACUUGUUUUUGAAGCUCUUGCAGUUGAUCUGGUUACCAUUAUCAAGAGAAAAAAUGAUCGCUGUAUCGCUCUUGGAUGGUGCACAUUGAUACGUGCACCUGUAGAACAUGGGAUAACUAAGAAGCAAUCUUCAGAUAUUGGGGGUGAAGCGACAGAAAUUAUUGAAGAUUUUUUCCUCUUCAAUUUCACAUGGUUCAUCUGUUGUUUGCAGUGGAAGCAAAUUGCAGGACGGAUUUGAAUUGCCUACUCGUCUUUCAGUAGCUGUUGCUGAUUGCAUUCUUGUCUGCAGAUAAAGAAAAAGUACUUGCUAUAUCAACAGCUACUGCUAGUAAUAAGAAGCCAGUGAAUUCAAUUUAUAGGCUUCAACAAGGCACUGAAAACGUGGAGAUGGAAUUGGUACUUUAGAUUCAUUUGGAUGAACUCGUUACUCUUGUGCUGAAACUCUUGGCUCGGAGCAGAAAAAGCCGGCCUUUACAUGCAAAAGGAUUGGAGCAAGUUUUACACUCUUGUUCCGGAGCAGG